UUAAGGGUCCUAAUCUCUCUGGGCCAUUUUCUAGGUUACUUUGUGCUAUAGAAGGGAAGUAUUUGGUCCAGGAGAGUUGUUAUUGCUUGGUGAAGGGAACUAAUGCUGCUUCUGAGCACGAUGGGAUCCAGUCUCUCAGCUUUAAUUGCUCUACACCAAAUGUUGCUGGGAGAGGAUUUAUUGAGGUAAUACCCUCACAUUUUUUCCUGGUUAAUUUACUAUUCAGUUGGCACAUUCCCCCGAGUGUCUCAUAAAUCAUUACAGUAACUUUCUUGUUCAAAUAGCAUGGUACAAACUAAACAAUUCUUUCAUAUUUUGAUCCGUUGUUCAUAUGUCGCUAAUGCUAUGCAGUUCUUUUGGUGUUUGAAUAAACUUUUGUUUAUAGUUGUAUUGCAGCCCAUAUGCUGGCAGCACCUGCAGCCCAUAUGCUGGCAGCACUAAAGUAGCUCACCGGCAACACCAGUAGGAGCUCACUGGCAGCACCAGCUCCCCGCCUGCCGCAAUUCGACAAGUGUAGUCCAUAAGUGACACUUUGGGCCUAAUUUUAGAGAACUAUUCCUUUUUUAGUUUAUGAUGUUAGACAGUUAUUUUAGGGAGAGAUUCAGACAUAAUUUUAAGUAAUAUGCUGAUAUUUUUGCUAUGUGGUGAAGUAAAAUCAUGUUUGCUUGCC